rnacentral:lncRNA from 1 species
CUGAGGAGUUCACAUUGCAACCAUAGUCCCAUUUAUGCUCUUCCAUAUAGAUUUGUGUGUGCGUACUGGUUUGUGUGUAUCCUACAUAACAAAAUAUGAAUAAGUACAUGAAGAGAGAAAGUAAAAAGAAUUCUGAACACCUUCAUCUUUUGGAUACUUUUCCUUCUUCAUGGGACAUACAAUGCUAAAAGUGUAUCAUUUACUGAAACGAAUAAAAUAAGGGGGGGAAAGAAAAAGAAAAUGACCUUAUAAAUUUAUUUCUGGUUAAGAUAUAUCCAGAAGAAUAGUUUAAAAUACAGUUAAUAAAAGAAGAGUGAUAUACCUCCAAUUUUUCAAUCCGUUCUGAAAACGUAUAUCACUGUCAGUAUAGAGGUUUCUUGUUUUCUUGCAUAUAUUUAUGUAUGUAUGUGUACACACCCUCAAAAAGUUCAGGCUUAACUACAUAAAGCCUGGAAUUCCACCUCGGUGUGAAUAAUCCCCUCCCCCAAAUACAAGGAAUAAAGACAAGUAAUAAACUAGAGAAUUAAUAGCAAAUGCGCUUAUUGUCAUGGAAACCCAGCCAAAACAAAUACGAGGAGGUUCUGAUUCCCAGAAUUCACACAUGCCAAUACAAUUAUUCCGUGGCGCUACCCAUAGCUCCAGCGAUCUCAUGCACGUAGCAUGCCUACACAGCAGUGAUAUUCCUCUCCCUGUGAGUGCUGCAAACACUCUUCUGCUUUUCAACCUCCACUGAGUUUUAUUCCAGUAACGAAGAAGAUUUUGGACAAAAUGACACAGUGGGAAGAAUAGGAUGAAAGAAGUAGAAGAUGUGGUCAUCCUGGAGAUGAAGGAAAAGUACAGACAAAAGGAUGCAGAGGGUAACAACAAAACUGAGGUGCGGAAAGCUUCUCUUGCCCUUUUGCUUCAACCAGUGUCCUGGUGGAGGAUAUUGAUAAUGGUGAUAGAAAGAGCAAAGGACAGUGAAGAACCUGGUGAAAACAUCUGCUGGGGAGAACAAGGGCAGGAGAAGAGAAUGGGAAAAUUCCUGAAGCAGAAUGAAAAAUAAAUUAAGCAACGAGGUAGCUUUAAUUAAUGAAAUGGUUUUGAUUAAAAAACCAGCCAAACAAACUUCUUUUGUGGUGAAAAAAAAAAAAAAAAAGAAAGAAAAAAAAAAGAAAAAGAGAAAGAAAAAGAGGGUGGGGAGGCAACAGGACAAGAAAUGAAACUGGAAGAACAGUUAUUUUCUGGCUGACCUACACACCAUCUGGUUUGGCUAAUAAGAAUCUAUACAUUUUAGCCAGAAAGAGACAAGACUAACUGUAAGAAAUGACAAUUUCACAUAUCCACUGAAAAUGGAAACUUAAUAUGAAGAUGAAUAGGAUGAAGAUCUGGGAUCCCACCCAUCAGGGAAGGUUUCUUGUUGUUUGGUUUGUUUUAUAUGUAUAAAUAAGUAAGAAAUAAGAGAGAUGAGAGCAGCGAUCAUGGUAUACUUGCAUUCAGCAUCACAGAGAAAAUGUACUUAAAGCAUAGCAAAACAAGGGUAUCAAUUCACAAGAAAGCUCUGCAUUUCUAAACUGUUGUAAGUUCUUGCCUCUGGUGUAUGUCCCCAAGAUCUGGUCUAGUUGUUAUUGAAGACAGUGACUGACAACUGUUGAUUUUAACAAGAACAUUACGUGUUUUAUAAGUCAAAUGCACUGGAAGAAAAAAUAUUUUACUCACUUUAAAGAAAUGAGCCCAAAGUCUCUUCCCUUGGAUAUCCAACCUUUUGGCUUGCCUGGGCUGUGCUGAGUGAAGAGGAAUUGUCUAGGGCCACAUCUAACAAGGCUGCUCCAAAAGUGAUGCCUCCUAAUUAUCACAUAGAAACAACACCCUAUACAAAGAGUACAAUAACCUUAUUUGAUAGAACAAACUCUCAGCUAUAAACCUCUCUUUUUCAGCACAG